rfam:Desulfobacterales bacterium C00003106 5579_contig_14101.2, whole genome shotgun sequence.
UUGUGCUAAGCGGGAAGUUAGCGGUGUCCUGUACCCGAAAUCCGCUUAUGCGGGGCUGAAUUCCCUUUCGAGCUCCUGUCGCAAAAUAGCUCAGUCACAUCAGGCCGGACGCCACGCAACAGACGGUUACGAACCCCGUCAGGUCCGGAAGGAAGCAGCGGUAAAUAAUGCGGUCUGUGUCGUGGAGAUGUUCCGGCCGAUCAUUGUGGCACGAGUUGUGGAGUGGCUGGUUCAAAAAAGGGUGCACAA